rnacentral:lncRNA from 1 species
UAAAACUAUGUUAGUAAUUAACAUAGCUUGAGUGUUGGCCUUGACUGGCAAAUAAGAAUUUGAAUAAGUAUAAAGUCGUUAGUUAAUACGAUUAGCAAUGAGAAGUGAAAUAUGUUAUGAUUAUACGAAUUAUGUGUAUGAUUAAAUAAAUAUACAUUAUAUAAUGUGAAUACAUUUAUUUUGUAUAUAAAAGUGAAGUAAGAAUUAAGUUAUGUAACCUAAUAUAUAUAUUAGGCGUGAUAAUUAAAUAACCUAAAUGGUUAUCGUUAUUUAGUGGUCCUAAUAUUUUAUUUUUAUAUUAGUGACCUAAUUUAAGAGAAUUGUGGAACAUGUCACAAUUUAUUAAAUUAUUUUGUUCGAAUAGGUG